rnacentral:lncRNA from 1 species
GUCCACCCAACAUAGCAAUGAUAUCAAUGACUUGAUGCUAAAUCGGUUCAUUGUCUAAUAUUAAAAAUUAUUUAAAUUUAAAAUUGUAAAUAAAAUAAACAUAAUAAUAUUUCAAAAAAAUUAAAAAAAUGCCAAUAAUAUUAAAAACGAUAUGUCAUCAAAAUUGAUGGACUAAAUUAAAAGUGAGUAAAAAGAAAUUACCGAAAGCCCAAAAUUAUGGGCUUGAUCUUAUGUCGAACGGGCCUUCUUCCCCCUCUUUUUUUUCUUCUUUUUUUUUUUGGGCUGCCUACUGUUGGGCCUUUUCUUUUUUUCUUUCUUCUUUUGUUUUUGGGUCACCUGUUGUUGGGCUUGGGUUACUGGGCCUGUCGCUAUUGGGCCUGCUAGCCUGCCGAGAGCUGGGCGUUGGUGAGUUGGGACUUGGGCCUACUGGGCGCUGGCCUGCUGAGUGGUGCGGGUCGGGUUGGUUCAGAUCCGACCAAUCCUUUUUAUAGUUAUUUUUUUCUUUCUUUUUCUUUCUCUUUUUUUUUUGGGCUUCCUCAGGUUGGGCUGCUGCUAGAUGGGUUGCUGCUGUUGGGCCAGAGUGCUGGGUUGCUGCUGUUAGGCCAGGAGUGGACCGGCCUGCUGGGUGCUGUUGGGUUGCUGGUAGCACGGGUUGAGUCUGAGUCGGAUAGCACAGGUCAGGUCGAGCCAACCCGACUGUUAUAUUUUCUAUUUUUUAUUUUUUAUUUUUAUUUUUCUUUCUUUCUUUAUUUUUCUUUUUUCUUUCUUCUUUUUCCUUUCUUUCUUUUUUCUUUCUUCUUUUUCCUUUCUUUCUUUUUUCUUCUUCUCAAACCCUAGCCUCUUUGGCCGUCGCCGAAUGCUCCCUCCGCCUGGUGGUGCGACGGCCGCGAUAGCGACGGGGGGACGACAAAGUCUUUUUGCUCUCUUUUUUUUGUUUUUCUUGACUAUUUUUUCUUUUUUCUUGGCUGUCGUUUGUGAUUUUUUUGCAUGUUGCUUAGGUUUUGGCGAAGGUGGAAGAGGGAAGGCGGUGGGCACGGUGGCGGUGGAGAAACGGCCAAAUUUUGGAGCCUUUUUUGCUUAUUUUUUGCUUCUUGGCUCCAAUUUUUGCGAGAAAAACCCCCUUUUAUUGUUGAUUUUCUUUGUAGAGAACAGGUAGCUAGGGAGGAGGGCCACCGCCCUAGGCCGGCCGCCGGAAAUCGAGGAGGGCAGGUGCGCAAAUCGCGCUUGGUGGCUGGGGAUUUUGUGCUAGAAGGAUCAGAUUGCAAAGGGUGGAAAUUUUUUGGGGUCAAAGUGUAAUUUUAGGAAAAUUUAAGGUUGAUAUGUAAUUUUAAGAAAGUUGGAGGGUCAAAAUAUAAUUUUGGGAAAGUUUGGGGGUUAAAAUGUAAUUUUAGGAAAAGUGGAGGUCAAAAUGUAAUUUUAAAUUUUGUAAUUUUCUGAUUAUUAUUAUUAUUAAAAUAAUUAAAAAAUUUUAAAAAAAUAAAAAAAACAAAAACACUAAUGGGCUUUAGCUCAAACAAGUCCAAAAUCAAAUUAUUAAAAGCCCAAUUAUCUAAUCCCACAGGCCCAAUCAUUGGGCCCAUAUGAGACAAGCCCAAACCCGUAAUUAAAACACGAAACCUGAACCGAACAAAAUUCAGUGAUUACAAUUAUUAUCAUGAAAUUGUUGCGGAGGCAAUUUUAACAAAAAAAACCGAUAUGACGGUUUCACCCAUUGUGUCAUCUUGUUAUAAAAUAUUAUUAUUUUUAUCAUGAAAUUGCUAUAAACCUAUUGUGUCAUCUUGUAAUUUUUUUAGGUUAAAUUCUAAGAAUAGUCCUUGUAUUUAUUGAUUUGUCCGGAUUUGAUCCCUCUAUAGCAGUCAAAUUGGUGUCUUAAAUUUGAGAAAAAAACACAAACAAUAAAAUCAAAGAAGAAUCUACCUGUCAAAUACAAGCAACUCAGUCACAUGCAAUAAUCAAACUCUUGAUCAGCCAUCAGUCCUAGCAACACAAUACUCAAAAAGAUGAUCAAUCCAGAAUAUGCUCACACACUCCCGGGAUAUUAUAUCAGUAUCAAAAUUUUGAAUGAAAUGUGUGACCACUUAUACUUAACACCUUCAGAAAAGGUUUUAAAUACCGUCUUCUUAGCAGUCAAGCCGAAGGCCCAUAUGUUAAGCAGCUUCACCCUGAACACAGCCACACUUGGUCUGACCCACAAAACACAAUUCUCACUCCGCAAAGAUGACCAAUACCCAGAAGCAUAAUAAAAAAACAUCAAACACCACUCAGCGAAGAAAGGCAGCUACCAUCACACAAUAAACCAUCAGCCAAAUAACCAAAAAGUUGCAAGAAAACAGAACUGAAAGUUGUCAUGGCACCAAAUCCUUUGAGCCUGUUAAUAUGAAAUCUCCUCGAGUUUCAAAUCUUGCAUUCCAAGAAAUGAUCUUCAUUAAUUUUCAAAAUGCUAUUGAAUUUUUGAGACACUGCCAACACUCACACCCACUAACAAGAGAAUUGAACAAAACAAAUCCCGGAAACCAAAAUCAAGGAGGCACAUAUAUAGAAUUUUUUAAAUUACUCAAUUUUUUUAGAAUAACGGCUAAUUGGCAGAAGUUGUAAAGGUUAAGGGUUAAAUCUAUGAUUGUACCUAAUUUUUAGUAGAGUUAGCUGAAAAAAAUAAUGGAGGGACUAAAUUGAGCAAAACGUAAAGUAAAGGGGCAAUUUUGAGCAAAUAAAAGUAAGGGAUUAAAUAUGCAGAAAUAGAUAUAUAUAGGGACUAUCCUUAGAAUUUAACCUUUUUUAUAUCUUGAAACUAUUGCGUAACACUUUGGAAAUAUCUUUUUAUUUAUAUGAGGAACCGCCACCUGAUAAGAUGGUUUCACCCAUUGUGUCGUAUUGUUAUAAAAAUAUUAUUAUUUUUAUUAUGAAAUUGCUGCGAGGCGAUUUUUAUAAAAAAAAAACUGAUAUGAUAGUUUCACUUAUUGUGUCAUCUUAUUACAAAAAAUUAUUAUUUUAUAUGGUCGGUUAAUGAAGCAAGUAUGUAUGUUAUAUCAUAAAGCAUUAGUAAUUAGAAUUAUAAAAUGAAAUUUUAAUUAAAUAGAACAUAAGUGAUAUUGGAAAUAGAUGGCAAAAAUAAA